AUGAAGGAUUGCAUUUGGAUCAAGAAAGUACAAGAUUCGGAUUUGAAAGAUAGAAAGAUGAAGGAUUGCAUUUGGAUCAAGAAAGUACAAGAUUCGGGUUGAAAACUUACAAGAAUCGGAAGAAAUCGAGAGAUUUGAGGGCUGGAACGUCUUGGUCGGUUAGGAGCAGCAACACAAGUGUUUGGGAGUGAAUGGAGGGGUAUUUAUAGGCAAGGAAGGAGAAAGGAAGGCA
rnacentral:lncRNA from 1 species